rnacentral:lncRNA from 12 species
AUGCACCAGGAGCCCGACGUGGGAUUCGAUCCUGGGUCCUCAGGAUCGGGCCCUGGGCCAAAGGCAGGCGCCAAACCGCUGCGCCACCCAGGGAUCCCACGUUACCUAUUUUUAUUGAAGUUGAGCUUCCUGUCUUGUGUCAAGAUUUUCUCCCAGGAACCUGCGCUGUUGCUGUUAAACUUCCCAGCAAGUUCAAAGGCACUCUCAUCCCCACCAGAUCUGCCGGUUAACUUACAGCUGCUACACGACGUUGAGCAGAGGUUGUGUCUGAGUCUGGAGCUGGUUUACAUUCAUACUGGAAGUCAAACUCAAUAUGGGAUUGGCUGGGAACCAACACAAGUCUUUGCUUGGAGACAAGCUUUGAGGAUUACCUCCGAUACACAACUACACUCUGAGUUUACGCAUGUUUUGCUCCCUCCUAUAAUGAAUACAUUCUGGGUGUGA